ACGAUGACUCUCGGCAACGGAUAUCUCGGCUCUCGCAUCGAUGAAGAACGUAGCAAAAUGCGAUACCUGGUGUGAAUUGCAGAAUCCCGUGAACCAUCGAGUCUUUGAACGCAAGUUGCGCCCGAGGCCACCCGGUCGAGGGCACGCCUGCCUGGGCGUCACGC
rnacentral:rRNA from 1 species